rnacentral:rRNA from 1 species
UACGUAGGGGGCAAGCGUUGUCCGGAAUUAUUGGGCGUAAAGAGCUCGUAGGCGGUCUGUUGCGUCCGCUGUGAAAACUCGGGGCUUAACCCCGAGCCUGCAGUGGAUACGGGCAGACUAGAGGUAGGUAGGGGAGAAUGGAAUUCCCGGUGUAGGCGGUGAAAUGCGCAGAUAUCGGGAAGGAACACCUGUGGCGAAAGCGGCGCACUGGACCACAACUGACGUGAGGCGCGAAAGCUAGGGGGAGCAAACAGG